rnacentral:lncRNA from 1 species
AGAAGAGAUAAGACUAGAGGCAGAGAUACUAGCUAAGAAGCUGUUGCAACAAUGAAAGAAGAAAUGAUGAGAACCUAAACUAAGGCAAUACUAAUAGAAGCAAAGAGAAGGGAAGAGAUUUCACAAGUUUAUAAGAAGAAAGUGAUGAGAACACCAAAGACAGAAUAUAUGGUUCUUCUAGAAGAUCCACUUUCAAUUUUACUAAAGUGAAUGACCCACUUUGAUGAAAAGAAUAAUGACUUCUAAGGUCUCUUACAACUCUAAUGUUACAAUUCUAUUGUUCCAUCUGGAAUUGCCUUUUGAAGACAGCACACCUGUGGCCUAAAACUUCCUUGGUGAACAUGUGAAAUAUUUUUUAAUGAAAGCCCAUUACAUAUAAAGCCAUACAACCCCAAACAUGCAGUGAUAAUGCUUAUAGCAAAGAAAAACCAAGUAAAGACACUAUCUACAUUUACCUACUCUGAUCCCAAUUGGCUGCAAACAGCAAAAGAAUCUUCCUGCCGUAAUGGUCUCGGUUUUCCAGCACCCCGGGGAACCCAUCGAUCAGAGCCCUCUUAAUGCCGGGAUCAUCUGC